AGAUGUCACAGAGGGAGAGACCGGUUCUUGACCGGCGCCGAAGGAGCAACCGCCCUGGAAACUCUCAGGCAGAAGGACCCUGUGACUGGA
rnacentral:ncRNA from 2 species